GAUGAACGCUAGCGGGAGGCUUAACACAUGCAAGUCGAGGGGCAGCAUAGGGUAGCAAUACUCUGAUGGCGACCGGCAAACGGGUGAGUAACGCGUAUGCAACCUACCCUGUACAGGGGGAUAACCCGGAGAAAUUCGGACUAAUAUCCCGUAAUAAUAUCCGGAGGCAUCUUUGGAUAUUUAAAGUUCCGACGGUACGGGAUGGGCAUGCGUAACAUUAACUGGUUGGUAAGGUAACGGCUUACCAAGGCUAUGAUGUUUAGGGGUCCUGAGAGGGUGGUCCCCCACACUGGUACUGAGACACGGACCAGACUCCUACGGGAGGCAGCAGUGAGGAAUAUUGGUCAAUGGGCCAAGCCUGAACCAGCCCAUCCCGCGUGCAGGAAGACGGCCCUAUGGGUUGUAAACUGCUUUUCCAGGGAGAGAAACUUACGCACGUGUUGCGUGACUGACGGUACCUGGGAAUAAGCAUCGGCUAACUCCGUG
rnacentral:rRNA from 1 species